UUGGUUAAGUUAGAAAGGGCGCACGGUGGAUGCCUUGGCACUAGGAGCCGAAGAAGGACGGGACUAACACCGAUAUGCUUUGGGGAGCUGUACGUAAGCGUUGAUCCAGAGAUUUCCGAAUGGGGGAACCCACUAUCUUUAGUCGGAUAGUAUCCUUACGUGAAUACAUAGCGUGAGGAAGGCAGACCCAGGGAACUGAAACAUCUAAGUACCUGGAGGAAGAGAAAGAAAAAUCGAUUUCCUGAGUAGCGGCGAGCGAAACGGAAAGAGCCCAAACCAAGAAGCUUGCUUCUUGGGGUUGUAGGACACUCUAUACGGAGUUACAAAAGAAAGUUAUAAAUGAAGCGGUCUGGAAAGGCCCGCCAAAGACGGUAACAGCCCGGUAGUUGAAAUGGCUUUCCCUCCAGAGUGGAUCCUGAGUACGGCGGAACACGUGAAAUUCCGUCGGAAUCCGGGAGGACCAUCUCCCAAGGCUAAAUACUCCCUAGUGACCGAUAGUGAACCAGUACCGUGAGGGAAAGGUGAAAAGCACCCCGGAAGGGGAGUGAAACAGUUCCUGAAACCGUGUGCCUACAAGUAGUUAGAGCCCGUUAAUGGGUGAUAGCGUGCCUUUUGUAGAAUGAACCGGCGAGUUACGAUUUGUUGCAAGGUUAAGCGGAAAAAGCGGAGCCGUAGCGAAAGCGAGUCUGAAUAGGGCGCAUAAGUAACAGGUCGUAGACCCGAAACCAGGUGAUCUACCCAUGUCCAGGAUGAAGGUAAGGUAAUACUUACUGGAGGUCCGAACCCACGCACGUUGAAAAGUGCGGGGAUGAGGUGUGGGUAGCGGAGAAAUUCCAAUCGAACUUGGAGAUAGCUGGUUCUCUCCGAAAUAGCUUUAGGGCUAGCCUCGAGGUAAAGAGUCAUGGAGGUAGAGCACUGUUUGGACUAGGGGCCCUUCUCGGGUUACCGAAUUCAGAUAAACUCCGAAUGCCAUGUACUUAUACUCGGGAGUCAGACUGCGAGUGAUAAGAUCCGUAGUCGAAAGGGAAACAGCCCAGACCACCAGUUAAGGUCCCCAAAUAUAUGUUAAGUGGAAAAGGAUGUGGGGUUGCUUAGACAACCAGGAUGUUGGCUUAGAAGCAGCCACCAUUGAAAGAGUGCGUAAUAGCUCACUGGUCGAGUGACCCCGCGCCGAAAAUGUACCGGGGCUAAACAUAUUACCGAAACUGUGGAUGAACCUCUUUAGAGGUUCGUGGUAGGAGAGCGUUCUAAGGGCGGUGAAGUCAGACCGGAAGGACUGGUGGAGCGCUUAGAAGUGAGAAUGCCGGUAUGAGUAGCGAAAGAAGGGUGAGAAUCCCUUCCACCGAAUAUCUAAGGUUUCCUGAGGAAGGCUCGUCCGCUCAGGGUUAGUCGGGACCUAAGCCGAGGCCGAUAGGCGUAGGCGAUGGACAACAGGUAGAGAUUCCUGUACCAGUGCUAAUUGUUUAACCGAUGGGGUGACACAGAAGGAUAGGGAAUCGCACGAAUGGAAAUGUGCGUCCAAGCAGUGAGUGUGAGAAGUAGGCAAAUCCGCUUCUCGCGAAGCAUGAGCUGUGAUGGGGAAGGAAAUUAAGUACGGAAGUUCCUGAUUUCACGCUGUCAAGAAAAGCCUCUAGGAAGAGUAGUACUGCCCGUACCGCAAACCGACACAGGUAGAUGAGGAGAGAAUCCUAAGGUGAGCGAGAGAACUCUCGUUAAGGAACUCGGCAAAAUGACCCCGUAACUUCGGGAGAAGGGGUGCUCUAUUAGGGUGCAAGCCCGAGAGAGCCGCAGUGAAUAGGCCCAGGCGACUGUUUAGCAAAAACACAGGUCUCUGCAAAACCGUAAGGUGACGUAUAGGGGCUGACGCCUGCCCGGUGCUGGAAGGUUAAGAGGAGUGCUUAGCUUCGGCGAAGGUACGAAUUGAAGCCCCAGUAAACGGCGGCCGUAACUAUAACGGUCCUAAGGUAGCGAAAUUCCUUGUCGGGUAAGUUCCGACCCGCACGAAAGGC
rnacentral:rRNA from 1 species